rnacentral:rRNA from 1 species
UACGGGGGGGGCAAGCGUUGUUCGGAAUUACUGGGCGUAAAGGGUGCGUAGGCGGCUUUGUAAGUCAGGAGUGAAAGUUUGCGGCUCAACCGUAAAAUUGCUUUUGAUACUGCAUGGCUGGAAUCAGGAUGAGGUCAGCGGAAUGUGGCAUGUAGCGGUGAAAUGCAUAGAUAUGCCAUAGAACACCAAUUGCGAAGGCAGCUGGCUAGACCUGUAUUGACGCUGAGGCACGAAAGCGUGGGGAGCGAACAGG